rnacentral:rRNA from 1 species
CAGGAGGGCCAUACCAACCUGAACCAGGCCCGAUCUCAUCUGAUUUCAGAAGCUAAGUAGGGUCAGGCCUGGUUAGUACUCGAGAGAGGGAAUUUAGACAACUGCAGCUUUGCUUC